AUACGGAGGGUGCAAGCGUUACUCGGAAUCACUGGGCGUAAGGCGCGCGCAGGCGGGCUGAUAAGUUGGAUGUGAAAGCCUACGGCUCAACCGUAGAACUGCAUCCAAAACUGUCAGUCUAGAGUCUGGGAGGGGAAGAUGGAAUUAGUUGUGUAGGGGUAAAAUCCGUAGAGAUAACUAGGAAUACCAAAAGCGAAGGCGAUCUUCUGGAACAGUACUGACGCUGAGGCGCGAAAGCGUGGGGAGCAAACAGGAUUAGAAACCCUAGUAGUCC
rnacentral:rRNA from 1 species